ACUCACUUGGUCUAGUGGUUAAGACUGUGGUGUGUGGUGUGCUUGGAAUUACUUUGUCCACAGGUUCCCGGGUUCGAAUCCCGCAGCGGAUG